CCUACGGGUGGCAGCAGUCGAGAAUCAUUCACAAUGGGAGAAACCCUGAUGGUGCGACGCCGCGUGGGGGAAUGAAGGUCUUCGGAUUGUAAACCCCUGUCAUGUGGGAGCAAAUUAAAAAGAUCGUACCACAAUAGGAAGAGACUGCUAACUCUGUGCCAGCAGCCGCGGUAAUACAGCGGUCUCAAGCGUUGUUCGGAAUCACUGGGCGUAAAGCGUGCGUAGGCUGUUUCGUAAGUCGUGUGUGAAAGGCGCGGGCGCAACCCGCGGACGGCACAUGAUACUGCGAGACUAGAGUAAUGGAGGGGGAACCGGAAUUCUCGGGGUAGCAGUGAAAUGCGUAGAUAUCGAGAGGAACACUCGGGGCGAAGGCGGGUUCCUGGACAGUAACUGACGCUGAGGCACGAAGGCCAGGGGAGCGAAAGGGAUUAGAUACCCUUGUAGUC
rnacentral:rRNA from 1 species